GACGAACGCUGGCGGCAUGCCUAAUACAUGCAAGUCGAGCGGACAGAAGGGAGCUUGCUCCUGGAAGUCAGCGGCGGACGGGUAAGUAACACGUGGGCAACCUGCCCUUUAGAUUGGGAUAACUUCGGGAAACCGAAGCUAAUACCGAAUAAUACAAGGAACCUCCUGGUCCUCUGUUGAAAGAUGGCCUUUGUGCUAUCACUAAAGGCUGGGCCCGCGGCGCAUUAGCUAGUUGGUAAGGUAACGGCUUACCAAGGCGACGAUGCGUAGCCGACCUGAGAGGGUGAUCGGCCACACUGGGACUGAGACACGGCCCAGACUCCUACGGGAGGCAGCAGUAGGGAAUCUUCCGCAAUGGACGAAAGUCUGACGGAGCAAUGCCGCGUGAGUGAGGAAGGCCUUCGGGUCGUAAAGCUCUGUUGUGAGGGAAGAACAAGUACCGGCGUAACUACCGGUACCGUGACGGUACCUCACCAGAAAGCCACGGCUAACUACGUGCCAGCAGCCGCCGUAA
rnacentral:rRNA from 1 species